UACAUAUUUCUAUCCGCCUGGGAAUUUCCGAGCAUUUAGCUUAAAACCCAAAGGACUUCGGCGGUUCUUUAGAUCCCCCUAGAGGAGCCUGUCCUAUAACCGAUAACCCCCGUUCAACCUCACCCUCCCUUGUUUAAUCCCGCCUAUAUACCGCCGUCGUAAGCUUGCCCUGUGAAGGUCAAAUAGCGAGCAAAAUUAGUAUAACCCAAAACGUCAGGUCGAGGUGUAGCGCAUGAGAGGGGAAGAGAUGGGCUACAUUCGCUAGUCUAGCGAAUACGAAUGAUGUAAUGAAAACUUACAUACUGAAGGAGGAUUUAGCAGUAAGUGGUAAAUAGAGCGUCCCACUGAAGCAGGCUCUAAAGUAUGCACAUACCGCCCGUCACUCUCCCCGAGCAUUUCCAAACAUAUAACUAAAACAACAUAUGAGCAAAGGUGAGGCAA
rnacentral:rRNA from 1 species